ensembl:lncRNA novel transcript
AUAUAAUCUUCUGGCCAAGUCUUACAGCAAAGAAUUUUACAUUAAAAAGAAGGAAGAGAAAGCAAGCAAGCAAGCAAGAAGGGUGGUAAUGAGAAGCUGAGAGCAGUGUGCCAACUCGCAAUGCCAUCUUCGCUGACAUGUAAAAAUAGUUGUGUUUUAACAAGUGUGCUUUGCUUAAAUGAAAUAGGUGGAUUUCUAGAAAUGAAAUUGCUGCAGCAAAAGGACUGCAUAAUGUAAACACUCUUGAGACAGAUGACCAAUUUGUUUCCUGCAGUUUGUUCGCAUUUACACACUUCUAACAAUAUGGAGAUGUAUGUCUCACUGAAAUCAUGAUGACAACAGAGUUUUUUGCUUCUGUCUGCCAAUUUUUCCUUUGGGGCACUCAUCAUUUUGAUUACUUAAAUAUGCAUCUUAUGGUAGAAACUGGAACCACUGUCUUGAAUCAAAAGAUGGAAGAAGCUUCUCUUGAAGAUUAAAGGGACACAAGACAGAAGUUGUCUGUGUCCCUGAGGGCUUAGCAGAGGAGACUUGACCUACUUUCUUGGGCUUGUUGUGACAUCUAUUUUGUUUAAGAUGCCUCUCAAUUUUCAUCUUGUUUUGGAAAUGCUGCAAGGGCAAGAGGAUCCUUUUAAUUAUUCAUCAUUUAGAUGCGCUGAAAGAUGAGGUUAUUCUUCUGAAGACAAGAAGGCAACCCAAAGUAUUAAAUUUACAUUUGGUCAGAAAUGCCACACUCCAGAAGAAUGAACAUGCUUGGAAAAUUUUAAUUUUAUUCAUUUACUAACUUAGUGGGAGAGACAAAGACAAGAUAACAAGCAAAUUAAUAAUUGCAUCUUUGGUAACUUUUCUGAAGAAAAUAAACAUUAGACUCGGUCAGAGAAUAAUGGUGAAAAGGUUGCCCUGGAAAAAGUGAUAAGGAACAGCCUUUUUGGGAUGGUGAAUAUGAAGAGUAUGAAUUACAAUGUUCCUGAAAAGCCACUUUCCUGAGAAGAACUGCAACAGAUUUUCAUGAUAUCAAGAAGGCUUUAUGUUCCUGUAAGAAAGUUUGGCUGUAAGUUCCUAUCAAGAUUCUACAAGUGCCCCCAACUUUGCUAUGAAGACCAAGGCACUGUGGAAUUGUGUGUCUGCGUUUGGAAAGUCAGCUUGUGCCUAAAUGGAUUUUGAAGAUAUCAGGCAUUCUAGGAUUGAGACUGAGAAUUCCUUUUGUUACAACAGGCAAGAGUAAGAGCCAAUAAAUAAA